rnacentral:lncRNA from 1 species
CGACACUGAAGGGCACUUACCUACAUGUUAAAACAGGGUUUAAGCUGAAUCAGACAUUCUGUGAAGCUAAGUUCUUCUCUCUAGUUCCAAAACUUAGCCCUUGAGUUCAGAUCGGCCAUGUUGGAGCAACUGUGGCUGCCAAAGGGAAAUUUCACAGCAUCAAUACCACGAAGCAUCCUUUGGUAGAGUGGAGAUGGAGCAUGAUGAAGUUAGUUUCUGAAUUUAAACACGCAGAUGAAUUCGUGGUGCUGCGUGCUCUGCGGAAGAAUUGAGCACGCCAUGUUGCUGCAGUCUGACACUGCCUAACUGCAUGGGAGACAAGCUGACACUGGGCAAAACUGUGAAGCUCACCAAAUCAUGAAAGUUACGGCAUCGAUUGGAAGAUAUGGGACUCUGAAACUUGGAAUGGAGGCAUUAUUGAUGGAAACAGGUUGCCUGUGAGAAGACUAGCUUUCCCCUGCUUGCAAACCCUAUAAUAAACUUACCCAGGACAGCUACCUUGUAAGAGGAUGCCCAUUCUCAAAACUCACCCCAACCGUCCUUUGUAGACCCAUUACUAGGGUCAUAUCUCAGUAUGCUCCAAAGUACAAAGUCUCACCUAGGAAAAAAUAGCUUAUAUGCCAAAAGAAUUGCAAAACUUUGCUAAUUUAUAUUGACAGUAAUCUGGGGGAAUACAUGAGGGAAUGAAUUCUAAGGGUGUUGGACCAAGGAGGAUGGAAUAGAAGAAUGAGUUGGGCCACAUUUAUGGAUAUGGGUGCACUAGCUAAAGAUUCUGAAUUUCCAGCUUGUGUAGCUGUAAGUGACAGUUUCUUUGUUUGAUUGACUGAAAGUUAGACUCAAUGGUGGCCUGUAUGUAAUGAGGAAGAGAUGCCAGAAGUUCUUUGGAAUGGUGGAAGCCAAAGGCUUAUGGAGAUAGGAAUGUUGGAGUGGAUUUUCAUGCAUGUCAUGCGUAGCCAUUCCUAACUGCAUCUUCUGAGACAGCCCAGAGGAGACUCACUUUACAAAGACUUUGGAGAAGUGCAUUGGUGAGAGGAGCAUCUGCAUCCUUGAAUAGCUCUGUGGUGACUGUCCUCUGCAGGCCAAAUGGUAGCACUUAAACAGAAACAAAUUGGGCACAUUUACUGCAAUGGGUAGCAGGGACAUAGUGGUAAUUAGAAUGUUUUGACCUACUGGGAUAUUCAGUGGAGGGCAAUCCUCCCAGUGGGCCACAUUUUAAGCUGUCCAUUUAACUGUUCAUUUGCCCAACUUGAGAUAUGAGUAGAAGUACGUUGUAUUAAUUUGCUAGAGCUGUCAUGACAAAGUACCACAGACUGGUGGCUUAAACAAAUUUAAUUCCUUACAGUUCUGGAGCUCAGAGUCCAAGAUCAUGGUGUCAGCAGGGUUGGUUUCUUCUGAGGUCUUUCUCCUUGCCUUGUAAAUGGCCACCUUCUCCCUACGCCUUCUCGUGGUCUUUCCUCUGUGGAGAGAUACAAUAGGAUACGUGUCUGUCUCCUAAUCUCGUCUUCUUCUUCUUCUUUUUUUUUUUUUGAGAAAGAUUAGCCCUGAGCUAACAUCUGCUGCCAAUUCUCCUCUUUUUGCUGAGGAAGACUGGCCCUGAGCUAACAUCUGUGCCCAUCUUCCUCUACUUUAUAUGUGGGACACCUGCCACAGCAUGGCUUGCUAAGUGGUGCCAUCUCCUGGGCUGCCGAAGUGGAACGUGUGCACUUAACCGCUGCGCCACUGGGCCAGCCCCCUAAUCUCUUCUUUUAAGGACACCAGUCAUUCUUGCUUCCCAAGGAAGGAAGGAAUGUUUCUACCUGGGGGCCCAUAUGGUUCCAUUGAAUUAGAAUGUCACCUGGAUAUUUUGGGCUUCUCCUUCCGCUGUACCAAGAAGCUAGAGUGAUUAAUCCCAAAUUACCAAGUGGUGCAGUUACCCUUUGGAGAUAUGUGUGUGUGUGUGUGUAGAACAAGCAAGGAAGAAAAUGUGCAGAGCUGAUACUGUCUUAAUUUCUAUAACUGAUCAUGAGACCAUAGUUGAUAUUUAUGAAUUCCUUCUAACACUACCUAUUCUGUUUCCUUUGCCUUCCCUCAACCAGGACCUCAGCUGGUCAAAGUCCUUUACUAGGCUGGGUGACCCAAACUUUCAUUUGAGAUGGGUCUGAACCUUGCCCUUUUUCAUUUGUUGUAGUUUUUCAUUAACGUUUACUAUUGGACAUGGAAGUCCUGAGGAGUGCCCAGAUAAUCCCUUGAAUUCCAGAUACGGUCUCCUUGCCCUGUUGGGUAGUAUCAACACAAUCACAAUCAAGAAACUGAACACGUCCAAUACCCCAAACAGUUCCCUCCUAGCCCUAUGUAAUUUCUCUCUUCCGGCCCUCUCUGUCUCCCCCGACGGUUGCAUACAUGGGAGCCCUCUGAAUUUUAUGUAAAUUUGACCACACAGUGUAUACUCCUUUUUCAUUUUUUUUGGUCUGGCUUGUUUAAUUCUACAUAAUCAUCUUGCGAUUCAUCCCAUGUUGUUGAAUGCAUCAAUAGUUCAGUCC